UACGUAGGGACCAAGCGUUGUUCGGAUUUACUGGGCGUAAAGGGCGCGUAGGCGGAUAGUUUAGUCAGAGGUAAAAGCCCAGGGCUCAACCUUGGAACUGCCUUUGAUACUGGCUAUCUUGAGUUCGGGAGAGGUGAGUGGAAUGCCGAGUGUAGAGGUGAAAUUCGUAGAUAUUCGGCGGAACACCAGUGGCGAAGGCGACUCACUGGCCCGAUACUGACGCUGAGGCGCGAAAGCGUGGGGAGCAAACAGG
rnacentral:rRNA from 1 species